CGUGUAGGCGGAUUCGUGCGUCUGUCGCUGAAAUCCCCCGGCUCAACCGGGGAACGGGCGCGGAUACGACGAGUCUGGAGGGGCAUAGGGGGACCUGGAACUUCCGGUGGAGCGGUGAAAUGCGUUGAGAUCGGAAGGAACGCCCGUGGCGAAAGCGAGGUCCUGGAUGCCUACUGACGCUGAGACGCGAAAGCCAGGGGAGCGAACG
rnacentral:rRNA from 1 species